GCUUUCCCCUUCGGGGGACAAAGUGACAGGUGGUGCAUGGUUGUCGUCAGCUCGUGUCGUGAGAUGUUGGGUUAAGUCCCGCAACGAGCGCAACCCUUAAGCUUAGUUGCCAUCAUUAAGUUGGGCACUCUAAGUUGACUGCCGGUGACAAACCGGAGGAAGGUGGGGAUGACGUCAAAUCAUCAUGCCCCUUAUGAUUUGGGCUACACACGUGCUACAAUGGACAAUACAAAGGGCAGCGAAACCGUGAGGUCAAGCAAAUCCCAUAAAGUUGUUCUCAGUUCGGAUUGUAGUCUGCAACUCGACUACAUGAAGCUGGAAUCGCUAGUAAUCGUAGAUCAGCAUGCUACGGUGAAUACGUUCCCGGGUCUUGUACACACCGCCCGUCACACCACGAGAGUUUGUAACACCCGAAGCCGGUGGAGUAACCUUUUAGGAGCUAGCCGUCGAAGGUGGGACAAAUGAUUGGGGUGAAGUCGUAACAAGGUAGCCGUAUCGGAAGGUGCGGCUGGAUCACCUCCUUU
rnacentral:rRNA from 1 species